UUAAUUAUGCGAAGACCAUUUAAAAAUAGAGAAGCUUUUAGGAAAAUUAAAAAAUCAUUAAUUAAUAAUUAUUCAGAAUAUAUAAGUCUAAAUAAAACAAAAGAAAAUCCACAAAAACUAGCCUAUUUAAUUACAUUAAUAUCUAGUAUUGAAUCAAAAUUAAUAACACAUUUAAAAUCUAGAAGAAUGAAACAUAUACCGCCUAAUUAUAAUAAAAUUAGAUUUAGAUAUCCACCGAGAUAUUAUAAAUAUAAUUUAAAAUGAAUAAAAUACAACAAUAUAAAGAAUUAAAACAAAUUAUCUCUGAAAAACGUAAAGAAUUAAAAAUAAGAAUAGAAAGACUAAAUUAUAAUAUAUUUGCCGGAGUUAGUAAAAAUUCAAUAAAUACACAAAAAG
rnacentral:lncRNA from 1 species